rnacentral:lncRNA from 1 species
CCUAAUUCUAUGUCCUUUAUCACAUGUAGAUUCCUGUAACUGUCAUUGUGAUCAAGAUACAGAAAUGUCCCUCCCCACAAAGAGGCCCCUCGUGCUGCCGUUCACAGUCAUGAUCACCCAGCCCUCCACUAUUUGGAACCCCUGGUCCUGGUAGGAAGAAGGGAAUCCCACUUCUUGAUCACAACCACUUGGGACUUCGUCUUAGUAGCAGGUCACUGGGGACGGAGUGGGAAUCGCUGAAGCUCAGCAUCUCCUGGGAGAAAGGCCUCCGAACGCGAGCUGGGGAGAGGAAGGGCUGUGUGCUAGCUGCAGAAGUCUGGGGUGGAGUCUCUCUCUUGCUGAGCAGGGCUGCUGGAAUCAGGUCAGUGGAAGUCCUUGUGCCGCCAUGCUGGAAGUCAGUCUCCUACAGUAUAUGUUCUUGACUUAUCAAAGCCUGUUUGGCACUUUUACUCUCUCCCUGGAC